GAGGGCGGGAUGGAGAGGGGAGGAAUUUGAUCAGUGUGAAAAGAGGAAGGGAUGGUAAGAAAGAGGAGGAUGAAGAGGGAGAGAGAAGGAUGGAGAGGUGACAGGUAUGUCGAUGGAUUGUGCGAGAAUAGGGCGUGAUAGCGAGGUGUGUCUUAGUAACACAUUUUAAUAUGUUUAAUGUAAAAGAUAUAGACCACAGUGUGUGAUCUCUGUGCUCCCCAGGUCUGGAGUGUUUGAUGUAAUAGAUAUAGACCACAGUGUGUGAUCUCUGUGCUCCCCAGGUCUGGAGUGUUUGAUGUAAUAGAUAUAGACCACAGUGUGUGAUCUCUGUGCUCCCCAGGUCUGGAGUGUUUGAUGUAAAAGAUAUAGACCACAGUGUGUGAUCUCUGUGCUCCCCAGGUCUGGAGUGUUUGAUGUAAAAGAUAUAGACCACAGUGUGUGAUCUCUGUGCUCCCCAGGUCUGGAGUGUUUGAUGUAAAAGAUAUAGACCACAGUGUGUGAUCUCUGUGCUCCCCAGGUCUGGAGUGUUUGAUGUAAUAGAUAUAGACCACAGUGUGUGAUCUCUGUGCUCCCCAGGUCUGGAGUGUUUGAUGUAAAGAUAUAGACCACAGUGUGUGAUCUCUGUGCUCCCCAGGUCUGGAGUGUUUGAUGUAAAAGAUAUAGACCACAGUGUGUGAUCUCUGUGCUCCCCAGGUCUGGAGUGUUUGAUGUAAUAGAUAUAGACCACAGUGUGUGAUCUCUGUGCUCCCCAGGUCUGGAGUGUUUGAUGUAAUAGAUAUAGACCACAGUGUGUGAUCUCUGUGCU